AGUUCCGGUGGCUGGCGGAAACGGGAACGUGCAGCCGCGGGUGCAGGAGUCCUGGGGCAUGGCGGGGGCGGGGCAGGGGGAGGCGCGCACAGAACAGGCUGGGGCAUCCCUCGCCCUGGCUCUUUGAGCCCGGACCAGACAGAGAUGUGAUAAUGGAUCAUCAUGUUUCUACCAUCAAGCCUCGAAGAAUCCAAAACCAAAAUGUCAUUCACCGCUUGGAACGCCGGCGGAUCAGUUCAGGCAAGGCAGGUACCCACUGGCACCAAGUCCGAGUGUUCCAUCAGAAUGUCUUCCCCAACUUCACAGUUGUCAACGUUGAAAAGCCUCCUUGUUUCUUGCGUAAAUUCUCACCUGAUGGACGCUACUUUAUUGCUUUUUCUUCAGACCAGACAUCUCUUGAAAUCUAUGAGUACCAGGGCUGCCAGGCAGCAGAGGACCUACUGCAGGGAUACGAAGGAGAAAUCCUGUCCAAUGGCAAUGACCAGCGGUCAGUGAAUAUCCGGGGCCGGCUCUUUGAACGCUUUUUUGUCCUGCUGCACAUUACCAAUGUUGCGGCCAAUGGUGAGCACCUGAACCGGGAGUGUAGUCUCUUCACUGAUGACUGCCGCUGUGUCAUCGUGGGCUCAGCUGCCUACCUCCCAGAUGAGCCUCACCCUCCAUUUUUUGAGGUAUAUCGGAACAGUGAAUCAGUGACCCCCAACCCACGGUCCCCUCUAGAAGACUAUUCCCUCCAUAUCAUUGACCUUCACACCGGCCGCUUAUGUGAUACACGCACGUUCAAGUGUGACAAGGUGGUCUUGUCACACAACCAAGGGCUGUACUUGUACAAAAACAUCCUGGCCAUCUUGUCUGUGCAACAACAGACCAUCCAUGUCUUCCAGGUGACUCCUGAAGGCACUUUCAUUGAUGUGCGGACCAUUGGCCGCUUUUGCUAUGAGGAUGACCUGCUCACUGUGUCAGCUGUUUUCCCUGAGGUACAGCGGGACAGUCAGACAGGCAUGGCCAAUCCCUUUAGGGAUCCUUUCAUCAAUUCCCUCAAACACCGGUUGCUGGUAUAUUUGUGGCGCCGGGCAGAACAGGAUGGUAGUGCAAUGGCCAAGAGGCGCUUCUUCCAGUAUUUUGACCAACUGCGGCAGCUGCGAAUGUGGAAAAUGCAGCUUCUGGAUGAAAACCACCUGUUUAUCAAGUACACUAGUGAGGAUGUAGUAACACUGCGAGUCACAGAUCCAUCACAGGCAUCUUUCUUUGUGGUGUACAAUAUGGUGACGACAGAGGUGAUUGCUGUGUUUGAGAAUACAUCAGAUGAGCUUUUGGAGCUCUUUGAGAACUUCUGUGACCUUUUUCGUAAUGCUACCCUGCACAGUGAAGUUCAGUUUCCCUGCUCAGCUUCUAGCAACAAUUUUGCAAGGCAGAUCCAGCGCCGGUUCAAAGACACUAUUAUAAAUGCCAAGUAUGGAGGGCACACAGAGGCAGUACGCCGGCUGCUGGGUCAGCUCCCCAUCAGUGCUCAGUCUUACAGCGGUAGCCCCUAUCUGGAUUUGUCUCUCUUCAGUUAUGAUGACAAGUGGGUAUCUGUCAUGGAGCGGCCCAAGACUUGUGGAGAUCACCCAAUCAGGUUCUAUGCCCGGGACUCGGGCCUGCUCAAGUUUGAGAUCCAGGCGGGGUUAUUGGGCCGCCCCAUCAACCACACAGUGCGACGCCUUGUUGCCUUCACCUUUCACCCUUUUGAGCCUUUCGCUAUUUCUGUGCAGAGGACUAAUGCUGAGUAUGUUGUCAACUUCCAUAUGCGACACUGCUGCACGUAGGUGCCUCACCAGAGCCAGAUUAUCUGGUCUUCCAAGACUUUGCCACUCACUUAUCUCAGUGGACUCCAAAGCAAAAGCUCCCGACUACUAGCUCUGUUAGUUCCAGCCUGCUAUACCUCAGAUGGGAGAGAGCCAGAGAGAGGAGUGAGGGUGGCUCAACCUAAUGGAAUUUUUAAAUUGUAUACAAUACUGCUACUGAUUGUUAUAAUAUCCUCUUGCGUUUUCCCUGUGGGAAUGCCCAGCAUUAAUUAAGUCCAUUUCAUUUUUGCUUUACUUUGCAUUUGAUUGCUGUGAAGAUGAAAGCAUUAGACUUUUAUCCCCUUCAUGUCACUUCUUCGGCAUUAUGGUUUGCAUCUGAAAGCAGUUAAAUCUUGUUUACUGAUGAGAAUGACAUACAUCCUUUCCAUUUAGCUCAUAAGCACGGCUAUCUUUUUAAGAGAAAAAUAAAGCCAUGGUAUUUUCAUACUUAAAUAUAUGUGGUUGGAUGACUGCUUUAUGUUCCUAUCAUACUCAAUGCUUUCAAGUACUUGGGUUCCAGGAAGGACUGUGAAAGAGAUGAGAGGCCAUGGAUGCAGCAGCUGUUCCUGGGAGAACUAAGUGGGACAGUGGAGACAGAUGAAGGAAGGGCAGAAAAAGAAAAAUAUACUGUGGAAGAGCACUGGAGUUGGAUCAAUGGGAAUGUGUUGUAUGACCAAGAGUUGAAGAUGUUUCAAGGAGAGGCCCAGCAUAUACAAAGGCAUGGAAGUAUGAAAAUGAAAGAGGUGCCUUGUCCUCUCUCUCAACUGUCCCACCAUCAGUAAGGGAACCAGGAAACCAGUCUUUGAGUAUGGAGUUAACAAGAAAGCUGAGUGUUGGGCGGCUUUUUUGUGGAAGCUCACUGCUUAUCCAUGUAAUGUUUCAUUAAUUCUUUGAUGCUGAAGUUUCACCUCCUGCAGGGAGCAUUUGCAGCACCCCAGGCGAGUUGUCAGCAGUUGCUGCCUGGCAGUAGCACACAUUAACUCUAGUGAGCAGAAGUGGAGCUCGAAGGCUCCCCACACUGCUGCACCUUGAGCUGCUCUUCCUGGCCCAGCCUGUUCUGCUUCCUGGGACCCCAGAUCUGGUCUCCAAGUACUGUUUCUCUUCUAAGUGUAGUCAUUAACUUCCCAGAGUGAGAAGAAGAGACUAAAAAAAAAGAGAGACAGACUGUCUCUUAGUUUUAAUUAAUUGUUGAAAGAAUAGAGAGGGGCCAUAUUUCUACUGAAAGAAAGGAGAAGUUGGGGAAUGGGAAUAUUCUGAACCGGAAUGAAAAAGUGAAUGAAAGGUAAUCUUUAGAUUCAGUCUCUUUGCCCUAGUCUUUAAAAGUUUCUGUUGGGGGUUAUUUGCCCUAGUCUUUAAAAGUUUCUGUUGGGGGUUACAAAGUUUGAAAUCUGUCUUAAGGAGGGAUGUAUUACUCAAAAUAAAUUGCCUCUAUCAUUCAGUGUGAUAUGAUGGACUUGGAAGGGGCAGGAUUAGAGGAGGUGAGGGAUAAAAAUCUACAUAUUGUGUACAGUGUAUACUACUCCAGUGAUAGAUGCACUAAAAUCUCAGCCUUCACCACAGUUCAUGCAUGUAACCAAAACCACUGCUACCCCAAAAGCUGCUGAAAUAAAAAGCAACAACAACAAAAA